rnacentral:SRP_RNA from 1 species
GUUGGGCGUGGUGGCGCACGCCUGUAAUCCCAGGUACUUGGGAGGCUGAGGCAGAAGAAUCACUUGAACCCAGGAGGGAGAGGUUGCAGUGAGCUGAGAUCAUGCCACUGCACUCUAGCCUGGGCAACAGAGUGAGAUUCUGUUUCCA